rnacentral:rRNA from 1 species
GACGAACGCUGGCGGCGUGCUUAACACAUGCAAGUCGAGCGGUAAGGCCCUUUCGGGGGUACGACGAGCGGCGAACGGGUGAGUAACACGUGGGUGACCUGCCCUUAGCUCUGGGAUAAGCCUGGGAAACUGGGUCUAAUACCGGAUAUGACUCCAUGACGCAUGUUGUGGGGUGGAAAGCCUUGUGCGGCUAGGGAGUGGGCCCGCGGCCUAUCAGCUUGUUGGUGGGGUGAUGGCCACCAAGGCGACGACGGGUAGCCGGCCUGAGAGGGCGACCGGCCACACUGGGACUGAGACACGGCCCAGACUCCUACGGGAGGCAGCAGUGGGGAAUCUUGCGCAAUGGGCGAAAGCCUGACGCAGCGACGCCGCGUGGGGAUGAC